rnacentral:rRNA from 1 species
UACAGAGGUCUCAAGCGUUGUUCGGAUUCAUUGGGCGUAAAGGGUGCGUAGGCGGCGCGGUAAGUCGGGUGUGAAAUCUUGGAGCUUAACUCCGAAACUGCAUUCGAUACUGCGGUGCUUGAGGACUGGAGAGGAGACUGGAAUUCAUGGUGUAGCAGUGAAAUGCGUAGAGAUGUGGAGGAACACCAGUGGCGAAGGCGACUCUUUGGCCUGUAACUGACGCUGAGGCGCGAAAGCGUGGGGAGCAAACAGG